AGCGAACGCUGGCGGCAGGCCUAACACAUGCAAGUCGAACGAACCUUUCGGGGUUAGUGGCGGACGGGUGAGUAACACGUGGGAACGUGCCUUUAUGUUCGGAAUAACUCAGGGAAACUUGUGCUAAUACCGAAUGUGCCCUUCGGGGGAAAGAUUAAUCGCCUUUAGAGCGGCCCGCGUCUGAUUAGCUAGUUGGUUGAGGUAAUGGCUCACCAAGGCGACGAUCAGUAGCUGGUCUGAGAGGAUGAGCAGCCACAGUGGGACUGAGACACGGCCCAAACUCCUACGGGAGGCAGCAGUGGGGAAUCUUGCGCAAUGGGCGAAAGCCUGACGCAGCCAUGCCGCGUGAAUGAUGAAGGUCUUAGGAUUGUAAAAUUCUUUCACCGGGGACGAUAAUGACGGUACCCGGAGAAGAAGCCCCGGCUAACUUCGUG
rnacentral:rRNA from 1 species